GGUGAACGCUGGCGGCGUGCCUAACACAUGCAAGUCGAGCGAUUCUCUUCGGAGAAGAGCGGCGGACGGGUGAGUAACGCGUGGGUAACCUGCCCUGUACACACGGAUAACAUACCGAAAGGUAUGCUAAUACGGGAUAACAUGAGAGAGUCGCAUGGCUUUCUUAUCAAAGCUCCGGCGGUACAGGAUGGACCCGCGUCUGAUUAGCUAGUUGGUGAGGUAAUGGCUCACCAAGGCGACGAUCAGUAGCCGACCUGAGAGGGUGAUCGGCCACAUUGGAACUGAGACACGGCCCAAACUCCUACGGGAGGCAGCAGUGGGGAAUAUUGCACAAUGGGCGAAAGCCUGAUGCAGCAACGCCGCGUGAGCGAUGAAGGCCUUCGGGUCGUAAAGCUCUGUCCUCAAGGAAGAUAAUGACGGUACUUGAGGAGGAAGCCCCGGCUAACUACGUGCCAGCCGCCGCCGUAA
rnacentral:rRNA from 1 species